rnacentral:sRNA from 1 species
CCAUCAUAGCUGGUCAAUGCGAUUACUCCCUAGUUGGAAUAUCGGAAUACCGGUGUUUGA